CUCCUCACAAACAUACCAGAAAGAAGAAUCCUACCCUAGUUGGGGGAGGGGAGUGAUAGGUGAUCUAAUACUUUUUUGCAUUGUUACAGGCUUUGAGUCGCUUAUCUACCCAGUAACUUAAUGCAUUGUAAACUGUUUGGGGAGCUCUGGUCUUUACUGCGAGCAUCACUUCCUGGCUCCAGCACAGAUCCUUCAUCCCAUCAGCACAGACUUUCUAACUUUCACCACUGGCCUUUGUGCCUUCCUGGUACAGAUCCUUGAUGCAGAUUUGCACGAGACAUCGAUGUAGGCUCUAGGCCUCUGGCUAGACUUGUGGGGGACAUUGCUUUAGGCUCCGAGACUUCAGCUGGACUUCUGUGGAUCAUUGCUGUGGGAUCCAAGCCCUUGGCUGGAUUCUUUGGGUCUCUAGCAUGUGGAUAGAUCUCUUGUACUCCUCAGCAUUUGACUUUUUGAGUGAAUAUUUUCAAAUAGUUGUGUAAAUUACGUGUCCUGUAUUAAAAUCUAUUCCCUUGCAAACCCUGACUACAAC
rnacentral:lncRNA from 1 species